CCCUUAGAUGUUCUGGGCAGCACGCGCGCUACAAUGGUCUUCGCAAACGAAUGCAUUCUCGAAGGAGAAUGCCAAUCUUGGAAUCUAUGCCUUGGUCGGGACAGUUGCUUGCAAUUUUUCGACUCGAACCAGGAAUUCCUUGUAAUCGUGAUUCAUCACAUCACGAUGAAUACGUCCCUGCCCUUUGUACACACCGCCCGUCGCUCCUACCGAUCGAAGAGUUAGGUGAAUUGUUUUGAUCGAUAAGAUUUGACUAUGGUCAACUCUCGUUGUGAAAUUCUGUGAAUCUGACUGUUUAGAGGAAGGAAAAGUCGUAACA
rnacentral:rRNA from 1 species